GAUGAACGCUAGCUACAGGCUUAACACAUGCAAGUCGCGGGGCAGCAUGGGGGUUGCUUGCAACCCCUGAUGGCGACCGGCGCACGGGUGAGUAACGCGUAUCCAACCUGCCCUUCACCACGGGAUAACCCGGCGAAAGUCGGACUAAUACCGUAUGUUGUCCAUUGACGGCAUCCGAUUUGGACGAAAGGCCUGGCGGUGAAAGGAUGGGGAUGCGUCCGAUUAGCUUGACGGCGGGGUAACGGCCCACCGUGGCUACGAUCGGUAGGGGUUCUGAGAGGAAGGUCCCCCACACUGGAACUGAGACACGGUCCAGACUCCUACGGGAGGCAGCAGUGAGGAAUAUUGAUCAAUGGGCGUAAGCCUGAACCAGCCAAGUAGCGUGCAGGAUGACGGCCCUAUGGGUUGUAAACUGCUUUUAUGCGGGGAUAAAGUGGCCCACGUGUGGGCUUUUGCAGGUACCGCAUGAAUAAGGACCGGCUAAUUCCGUG
rnacentral:rRNA from 1 species